GGASCGGUGCGAGCGUUGUCCGGAAUCACUGGGCGUAAAGGGCGCGUWGGCGGCAUGCCAAGCGUGUGGUGAAAGCCCGGGGCUCAACCCCGGGUCGGCCGUGCGGACUGGCGUGCUCGAGCACUGUAGGGGCGGGUGGAAUUCCGGGUGUAGCGGUGGAAUGCGUAGAGAUCCGGAAGAACACCGGUGGCGAAGGCGGCCCGCUGGGCAGGAAGGGAGCGCAAGCUCCCGGCUGACGCUGAGGCGCGACAGCGUGGGGAGCAAACAGGAUUAGAUACCCUGGUAGUCCGCGCCGUAAACGAUGGGCACUAGGUGCCUGGGGGAGCGACCCCCCGGGUGCCGGCGCUAACGCAUUAAGUGCCCCGCCUGGGGAGUACGGCCGCAAGGCUG
rnacentral:rRNA from 1 species